rnacentral:rRNA from 1 species
UUAAUUGCGCGGCGAUAAACCUUACACACAUUGUCUAGUUUUUUUGAACUUUGCUUUGGGUGCAUCAGCCUAGCUGCGCGCCCAAAGGUCUAAACACAUUUUUUUUAAUGUUAAAACCUUUAACCAAUAGUCAUGAAAAUUUUUAACAAAAAUUAAAAUCUUCAAAACUUUCAACAACGGAUCUCUUGGUUCUCGCAACGAUGAAGAACGCAGCGAAAUGCGAUACAGUAUUGUGAAUUGCAGAUUUUCGUGAAUCAUCGGCGAUAAUCUUUGAACGCACAUUGCACCCUCUGGUAUUCCAGAGGGUAUGCCUGUUUGAACGUCAUUUCUCUCUCAAACCUUCGGGUUUGGUAUUGAGUGAUACUCUGUCAAGGGUUAACUUGAAAUAUUGACUUAGCAAGAGUGUACUAAUAAGCAGUCUUUCUGAAAUAAUGUAUUAGGUUCUUCCAACUCGUUAUAUUAGCU